CCUACGGGUUGCACCAGUGGGGAAUAUUGCACAAUGGGCGCAAGCCUGAUGCAGCCAUGCCGCGUGUAUGAAGAAGGCCUUCGGGUUGUAAUGUACUUUCAGCGGGGAGGGUGGUGUUGUGGUUAAUAACCGCAGCAAUUGACGUUACCCGCAGAAGAAGCACCGGCUAACUCCGUGCCAGCAGCCGCGGUAAUACGGAGGGUGCAAGCGUUAAUCGGAAUUACUGGGCGUAAAGCGCACGCAGGCGGUCUGUCAAGUCGGAUGUGAAAUCCCCGGGCUCAACCUGGGAACUGCAUUCGAAACUGGCAGGCUAGAGUCUUGUAGAGGGGGGUAGAAUUCCAUGUGUAGCGGUGAAAUGCGUAGAGAUGUGGAGGAAUACCGGUGGCGAAGGCGGCCCCCUGGACAAAGACUGACGCUCAGGUGCGAAAGCGUGGGGAGCAAACAGGAUUAGAUACCCGCGUAGUCA
rnacentral:rRNA from 1 species